UGAUUCGUUCGCCAUAGGAUGGGACUGCGGCCUAUCAGCUUAUUAGUGAGGUAAUGGCCCACCAAGGCGAUUACAGGUACGGGCUCUGAGAGGAGAAGCCCGGAGAUGGGUACUGAGACACGGACCCAGGCCCUAUGGGGCGCAGCAGGCGAGAAAACUUUGCAAUGUGCGAAAGCACGACAAGGUUAGUCCGAGUGAUUUCUGCUAAAGAGAUCUUUUGCAAGUUAUAAAACCACUAGUGAAUAAGGGGUGGGCAAGUUCUGGUGU
rnacentral:rRNA from 1 species